GACGAACGCUGGCGGCGUGGAUUAGGCAUGCAAGUCGAACGGUAUCAUCCUUUCGGGGGUGAGAGAGCGGCGAACUGGUGAGUAACACGUAGGUUAUCUACCCUCAAGACGGGGACAACCCAGGGAAACUUGGGCUAAUACCGGAUGUGAGCAACUUUUAGUUGUUUGAAAGGUGGCGUAAGCUGUCGCUUGGGGAUGAGCCUGCGUCCUAUUAGUUAGUUGGUGAGGUAACGGCUCACCUAGGCAAUGAUAGGUAGGCGGCCUUAACGGGUGGUCGCCCACACUGGGAUUGAGAUACGGCCCAGACUCCUACGGGAGGCAGCAGUCGAGAAUAGUCUACAAUGGCCGAAAGGCUGAUAGUGCGACGCCGCGUGAACGAAGAAGCCCUUCGGGGUGUAAAGUUCUUUUAUAUGUGAGCAGUGCUUUCUAUGUGAACAGCAUGGGGAGAGAGAUAUUAAGCAUAUGAAUAAGCAACGGCUAACUCCGUGCCAGCAGCCGCGGUAA
rnacentral:rRNA from 1 species